UCGAACGAACGGAUUGAGGAGCUUGCUCUUCAAGAAGUUAGUGGCGGACGGGUGAGUAACACGUGGGUAACCUGCCCUUCAGCGGGGGAUAACAUCCGGAAACGGGUGCUAAUACCGCAUAGUUUCUUUUUCCGCCUGGAAGAAGAAGGAAAGAUGGCCUUUGUGCUAUCACUGAGGGAUGGACCCGCGGCGUAUUAGUUAGUUGGUGGGGUAAUGGCCUACCAAGACGAUGAUACGUAGCCGACCUGAGAGGGUGAUCGGCCACAUUGGGACUGAGACACGGCCCAAACUCCUACGGGAGGCAGCAGUAGGGAAUCUUCCGCAAUGGACGAAAGUCUGACGGAGCAACGCCGCGUGAGUGAAGAAGGUUUUCGGAUCGUAAAACUCUGUUGUCGGAGAAGAACAAGUAGGAGAGUAACUGUUCCUACCUUGACGGUACCCGACCAGAAAGCCACGGCUAACUACGUGCCAGCAGCCGC
rnacentral:rRNA from 1 species